rnacentral:rRNA from 2 species
ACGGGUGAGUAAUACAUCGGAACGUGCCCAGUAGUGGGGGAUAGCCCGGCGAAAGCCGGAUUAAUACCGCAUACGACCUACGGGUGAAAGCGGGGGAUCGCAAGACCUCGCGCUAUUGGAGCGGCCGAUGUCAGAUUAGCUAGUUGGUGGGGUAAAAGCCUACCAAGGCGACGAUCUGUAGCUGGUCUGAGAGGACGACCAGCCACACUGGGACUGAGACACGGCCCAGACUCCUACGGGAGGCAGCAGUGGGGAAUUUUGGACAAUGGGCGCAAGCCUGAUCCAGCCAUGCCGCGUGCGGGAAGAAGGCCUUCGGGUUGUAAACCGCUUUUGUCAGGGAAGAAACGGCCUGAUCUAAUAAAUCGGGCUAAUGACGGUACCUGAAGAAUAAGCACCGGCUAACUACGUGCCAGCAGCCGCGGUAAUACGUAGGGUGCAAGCGUUAAUCGGAAUUACUGGGCGUAAAGCGUGCGCAGGCGGCUUUGCAAGACAGAUGUGAAAUCCCCGGGCUUAACCUGGGAACUGCAUUUGUGACUGCAUGGCUAGAGUGCGGCAGAGGGGGAUGGAAUUCCGCGUGUAGCAG